UACGUAGGGGGCGAGCGUUGUCCGGAUUUAUUGGGCGUAAAGAGCGUGUAGGCGGUUCGGUAAGUCUGUCGUGAAAUCCUGAGGCUCAACCUCGGGCGUGCGAUGGAUACUGCCGGGCUAGAGGAUGGUAGAGGCGAGUGGAAUUCCCGGUGUAGCGGUGAAAUGCGCAGAUAUCAGGAGGAACACCGAUGGCGAAGGCAGGUCUCUGGGCCACUACUGACGCUGAGAAGCGAAAGCAUGGGGAGCGAACAGG
rnacentral:rRNA from 1 species